rnacentral:rRNA from 1 species
GCAUAUCAAUAAGCGGAGGAAAAGAAACUAACAAGGAUUCCCCUAGUAACUGCGAGUGAAGCGGGAAAAGCUCAAAUUUAAAAUCUGGCGGUCUCUGGCCGUCCGAGUUGUAAUCUAGAGAAGUGUUAUCCGCGCUGGACCGUGUACAAGUCUCCUGGAAUGGAGCGUCAUAGAGGGUGAGAAUCCCGUCUUUGACACGGACUACCAGUGCUUUGUGAUGCGCUCUCAAAGAGUCGAGUUGUUUGGGAAUGCAGCUCAAAAUGGGUGGUAAAUUCCAUCUAAAGCUAAAUAUUGGCGAGAGACCGAUAGCGAACAAGUACCGUGAGGGAAAGAUGAAAAGAACUUUGGAAAGAGAGUUAAACAGUACGUGAAAUUGCUGAAAGGGAAACGCUUGAAGUCAGUCGCGUUGGCCGGGGAUCAACCUUGCUUUUGCUGGGUGUACUUUCCGGUUGACGGGUCAGCAUCAAUUUUGACCGUUGGAUAAAGUGUAAGGGAAUGUGGCAUCUUCGGAUGUGUUAUAGCCCUUGCUCGCAUACAACGGUUGGGAUUGAGGAACUCAGUACGCCGCAAGGCCGGGAAUUUAUUCCACGUUCGUACUUAGGAUGCUGGCAUAAUGGCUUUAAUCGACCCGUCUUGAAACACGGACCAAGGAGUCUAACAUGCCUGCGAGUGUUUGGGUGGAAAACCCGAGCGCGUAAUGAAAGUGAAAGUUGAGAUCCCUGUCGUGGGGAGCAUCGACGCCCGGACCAGACCUUUUGUGACGGAUCUGCGGUAGAGCAUGUAUGUUGGGACCCGAAAGAUGGUGAACUAUGCCUGAAUAGGGUGAAGCCAGAGGAAACUCUGGUGGAGGCUCGUAGCGAUUCUGACGUGCAAAUCGAUCGUCAAAUUUGGGUAUAGGGGCGAAAGACUAAUCGAACCAUCUAGUAGCUGGUUCCUGCCGA